CUGAAACAUCUGUGCCUGAGCCAUCACCAUACUGCAUUCAGAAGUAAUCAAAACUAGUUCCAGUGCAUUGAAGAAAGGAUUUCUGAAUCAAUGGAAAUUAAGAAUGGCUGCUAUGUAAAUAUAUUCAGAGCACAGUGGAGUCAAAAGUUUGUUGUGGAUUGAGAGAGUUGAAGUUUGAAGAUGGGAAAAAAUGCAGGAAUUUAGGAAGGUGCGGUGCAACACUGAUGUAAGAAUUUCCUGGGGAUUCACCAUGAAAGCAUUUUAUUCUCUGCGGAAACAUUACAGCCCUGUGAGUAAUGCCAUGGAACCAAAAGCUUGUUUAAUUGGCAGUGGAAAGAAGCCAUUUAACAGUGGCCAUGCAGUUACCAAGUGGUUUACCUUUGUGAAAACUGAAAAUAUUACUGAGAUCAAAGAGACAAACUGA
rnacentral:lncRNA from 1 species